rnacentral:tRNA from 1 species
GUUGCCGUGGCCUAGUGUAUAAGGCGAUAGACUUGAAAUUUUUUGGGAUUUGCCCGCGCAGUUCCGAAUCCUGCCGACAACG